GCUGCUCCUCUCACGUUCCGAAUAAAAUAAAUUUCGCACACGUUUCGAGGAAGGGUUCGACAUAAAAAACGAAAAACAAAACACAAUCCUAACGUAUUUUUGUUGUUAGCCCGUGGGGGAAACGAAGAGUAAAACGAGUUGACGGGCGCAGAACGCUAACAAGUGGUGGCGGCGGUGACCCGCAGGUCGAAUUCGAGUGCUCAAAAAAAAAAAACG